rnacentral:rRNA from 1 species
AUUGAACGCUGGCGGCAGGCCUAACACAUGCAAGUCGAGCGGAGCGGCGGACGGGUGAGUAAUGCCUAGGAAUCUGUCUGGUAGUGGGGGAUAACGUCCGGAAACGGGCGCUAAUACCGCAUACUAUCAGAUGAGCCUAGGUCGGAUUAGCUAGUUGGUGGGGUAAAGGCCUACCAAGGCGACGAUCCGCAACUGGUCUGAGAGGAUGAUCAGUCACACUGGACCUGGGACAAGGUCCAGCAUCCUACGGGAGGCAGCAGUGGGAAAUAUUGGGCAAGGGGCGAAAGCCUGGUCCAGCCAUGCCGCGUGUGUGAAGAAGGUAUUCGGAUUGUAAGGCACGUUAAGUUGGGGGGCGUUACCAACAGAAUGAGCACCGGCUAACUGCGUGCCAGCAGCCGCGGUAAUAC